GACGAACGCUGGCGGCGUGCUUAACACAUGCAAGUCGAGCGGUAAGGCCCUUUCGGGGGUACACGAGCGGCGAACGGGUGAGUAACACGUGGGUGAUCUGCCCUGCACUCUGGGAUAAGCCUGGGAAACUGGGUCUAAUACCGGAUAUGAGCUCCUGCCGCAUGGUGGGGGUUGGAAAGGUUUACUGGUGCAGGAUGGGCCCGCGGCCUAUCAGCUUGUUGGUGGGGUAAUGGCCUACCAAGGCGACGACGGGUAGCCGGCCUGAGAGGGCGACCGGACACACUGGGACUGAGACACGGACCAGACUCGUACGGGAGGCAGCAGUGGGGAAUAUUGCACAAUGGGCGAAAGCCUGAUGCAGCGACGCCGCGUGAGGGAUGACGGCCUUCGGGUUGUAGACCUCUUUCAGCAGGGACGAAGCGCAAGUGACGGUACCUGCAGAAGAAGCACCGGCCAACUACGUGCCAGCAGCCGCGGUAAUAC
rnacentral:rRNA from 1 species